GCCAUCAUAAAAACAUGGUUACUUUAUUAUGGCGUCAAGCUUUGUCAGUUAUUAACGAUUUUGCGCUUUACUAGUUUAUGGAAUUUUACAUAAUUGUGUAUUUGUAGGCAGUAGUACUGCCUACAAAUACACAGUAUUUACAAAUAUACAGUACGGCCGCAGUACUGUCAUAAUGUUGUUUUUAUGCUAGAUGUGUAUACCAUAUUGAAAAAGUAAAUUUUUAUAAGAAAAUAAUGCAUUUAAAAUACUUUGUUAGCAUCGCAUCAAGCUUUAAGUAAAUACUAAAUUUCAAUAUUGAUAAACAAAUUUUAAUUAAAAGUGUUUAUAAAUGAAUCACCGAGCUGGACAUUCUUUUAAUCGUUUUUAAUAUCAUGGUAAUGUGAUAUUUCAGUCAUGAACAGAAACGAAUUUAAAAAAAAAAAAAAAUUCCUUUGCAAUACUAACUGUAUUCCAAACAUGUCUUAAUUAUCGUUUGAUAUUUCAAACAAUAUAUCAGCUUUUUUCAUGUAAAAUAUAUACUAUCAUACAUGACACGGAGUUAUCUCUUUACAAAUACUAACCAGAUCAAAAUAUCAACUACAACAUAAUUUAUGAAGAGUUCAAAGAAUUUUCACAUUCAACUUCAGAUACCAGAAAGAACUAUUAUAGAGGUAUAAAUUUAAUGUGUUGUCAGGAGAUUAAAAAAAUAAAAUGAAAAUCUGAAAAAAUAUAAAUUAUAAUUGUUUACAAUUAAGAUACAAUUUAUGACUAUCCUACAUCAUGUCUCACUUAAGAAGAACCUAAUGUAGGGAAUGGCUGAGUAAGAUAGCGAGGUUAAGCUUCUA